UACGUAGGGGGCAAGCGUUGUCCGGAUUUAUUGGGCGUAAAGAGCGUGUAGGCGGCCAUACAGGUCAGCUGUGAAACUCGAGGCUCAACCUCGAGACGUCGGUUGAAACCGUAUGGCUAGAGUCCGGAAGAGGAGAGUGGAAUUCCCGGUGUAGCGGUGAAAUGCGCAGAUAUCGGGAAGAACACCCGUGGCGAAGGCGGCUCUCUGGGACGGUACUGACGCUGAGACGCGAAAGCGUGGGGAGCCGAACAGG
rnacentral:rRNA from 1 species